rnacentral:rRNA from 1 species
UAGAGUUUGAUCCUGGCUCAGGACGAACGCUGGCGGCGUGCUUAACACAUGCAAGUCGAACGGUAAGGCCCUUUCGGGGGUACACGAGUGGCGAACGGGUGAGUAACACGUGGGUGACCUGCCCUGUACUUCGGGAUAAGCCUGGGAAACUGGGUCUAAUACCGGAUAUGACCUUCUCCUGCAUGGGGGUUGGUGGAAAGCUUUUGCGGUACAGGAUGGGCCCGCGGCCUAUCAGCUUGUUGGUGGGGUAAUGGCCUACCAAGGCGACGAUGGGUAGCCGGCCUGAGAGGGCGACCGGCCACACUGGGACUGAGACACGGCCCAGACUCCUACGGGAGGCAGCAGUGGGGAAUAUUGCACAAUGGGCGAAAGCCUGAUGCAGCGACGCCGCGUGAGGGAUGACGGCCUUCGGGUUGUAAACCUCUUUCAGUAGGGACGAAGCGCAAGUGACGGUACCUACAGAAGAAGCACCGGCCAACUACGUGCCAGCAGCCGCGGUAAUACGUAGGGUGCGAGCGUUGUCCGGAUUUACUGGGCGUAAAGAGCUCGUAGGCGGUUUGUCACGUCGUCUGUGAAAACCCGAGGCUUAACCUCGGGCCUGCAGGCGAUACGGGCAGACUUGAGUACUGUAGGGGAGACUGGAAUUCCUGGUGUAGCGGUGGAAUGCGCAGAUAUCAGGAGGAACACCGGUGGCGAAGGCGGGUCUCUGGGCAGUAACUGACGCUGAGGAGCGAAAGCGUGGGUAGCGAACAGGAUUAGAUACCCUGGUAGUCCACGCCGUAAACGGUGGGUACUAGGUGUGGGUUUCCUUCCACGGGAUCCGUGCCGUAGCUAACGCAUUAAGUACCCCGCCUGGGGAGUACGGCCGCAAGGCUAAAACUCAAAGGAAUUGACGGGGGCCCGCACAAGCGGCGGAGCAUGUGGAUUAAUUCGAUGCAACGCGAAGAACCUUACCUGGGUUUGACAUAUAGAGGAUCGCCGGAGAGAUUCGGUUUGCCUUGUGCCUUCUAUACAGGUGGUGCAUGGCUGUCGUCAGCUCGUGUCGUGAGAUGUUGGGUUAAGUCCCGCAACGAGCGCAACCCUUGUCUCAUGUUGCCAGCACGUAAUGGUGGGGACACGUGAGAGACUGCCGGGGUCAACUCGGAGGAAGGUGGGGAUGACGUCAAGUCAUCAUGCCCCUUAUGUCCAGGGCUUCACACAUGCUACAAUGGCGCGUACAGAGGGCUGCGAUACCGUGAGGUGGAGCGAAUCCCUUAAAGCGCGUCUCAGUUCGGAUUGGGGUCUGCAACUCGACCCCAUGAAGUCGGAGUCGCUAGUAAUCGCAGAUCAGCAACGCUGCGGUGAAUACGUUCCCGGGCCUUGUACACACCGCCCGUCACGUCAUGAAAGUCGGUAACACCCGAAGCCGGUGGCCUAACCCCUUGUGGGAGGGAGCUGUCGAAGGUGGGAUUGGCGAUUGGGACGAAGUCGUAACAAGGUAACCA